rnacentral:misc_RNA from 1 species
CGGAUUAAUCGAACCUGAGCAACCCUACCAUCUUCUACUAUGUAUUCAGUAUAUUUAUACUUCAAUAACAACGGCAUAGUAUAGUGUCCUUUUGCUGUAGAAGGCAUCGUCCUGAGCCCAGGCGACAAUCUCCACUGAACGGUCUCUCUCUCAAGCCAAAAACCAGUCUAAAACGACAAUUGAGAGCUUAUUCUUCAAAUCCCAUAAAAAAAAAAAAAAAAAA